AGUAGUUUAGGGUUUGGAGACGGCCGUCAUCCCUCGCGCAGCGCGGCUAAUCGUUCGACACGGAGACGACCGCCGCCGGCAGCCGAGCUGAUCAGUCUGUAUCUAUUCCCCACGGGAGCAAAAGCAAGGUUGGCGAAUGUCAAGGAGCUUGACAGGUAGUCUGUAGCUCCCUCGGUUGCCGAUUCGGUCGGAGGCGCAGGGAACCCCGAUGAUAACCAUAACUUGUUUGUGCCCCCUAACUUACUUGCGUCUCGUUUUUUUCCUUUUCCCGACUUUUAUGAGCUGGAUCUUGGUUAUUUUGUUUUCGUAUGGGCUUUCGAUGUUUUUGAGGGCCUGGAUCUUGGAUCUAUGAGGUGGUAGAAAUUGACUUAUUUUUCAUGGGGGCCAUUCGAAUUUGCCAGCCUGAUGAUUAGCAUUGUUUGCACAAAGAACGGAGAUCUUAAUGCGCAUCCCGUCGAAGCCUGCUUGGUCGCCUCAGCUCGUUGCCAUCUCUACUACUCCCUCCGUUUCAAAAUAUAUAAGUAGUUUUCUCUCGAGGGAAACUACAACCACACACACACACACACAUGAUGUAUACAUUUAUGUUAGUGUAUGUAUAUCCUCUGCUCCUCGUCCACCACUUGGCUGGCCGAGCAGGCUCCGGGAAAUGCGUCUGUAGAUGCAAAAGUUAUGAAGGCUGUCCCAGAUUGGAAGAAUGCCCUGCCUAAGGUAAUUUUUAACUUGUUUAUCGAGCUUUGCAUUGCAGCCUGGGCUGCUUCUGAUUUGCUCAGCAUCACGUUAAUGAUGUCGCUUUAAUUUGACUGAUAUAUGAGUUACAAUGAUGGAUAUUUGAGUUACAUGACUGAUAUUUGAGUUACAAACAUGCAGUAUUUUACCCUAUGGGCAAAAUUGGCAGAUGAUGAGAAUCAAAGACAAUUGCGUCUGCUGUGCUCCUUAUUCAUCGGGGCACAAUGUCAUGAUGACCAUGUCUAGGGGAAUCUCUGAUGCUAAUGUGAAUUUUCUUAUAUACUCCAUCUCUUCCAAAUCGUUAGAUGUUUUGGCUUUUAUAGAUAUAUUGCUUUUGCUAUGUAUCUAAAUAAUACUCCCUCCGUUCAUAAAUAGUUCAUAAAUAUAUGACACCUCAUAAACAUAAACAUAUGACACGGUGACCACCCCUCUUAUUUAAAAAAUAUUUUAAAUAAUGAGUUAUCAUUUACUUACUCUUCUUAUUCAAAAAAAUAAUGAGUUAUCAUUAACUUUUUUGUGAUUUGUUUUAUCACUUAAAGGUAGUUUGUAUUUGGCUUAAAAUUUUAUAUUUUUGAAUACAUAUUUUGAAUAAGAUGAGUGGUGAAAAUUUUCGAAAAGGUGUUAUAUAUUUGUGAACGGAGGUAAUAUAUAUCUAUGUAUAUCUAAGUGCAUGUCAAAUGGAGUAGGGUAGGUUACAAGCCGGAUAGGCUGAUGUGUGUAGAACCAUGCGAGUGUUAGACCUCUUUUGAAUCAGAAUAAUGCAUUGUAGGAUUUUUUUAUGGUCCUAAAAGUUUUCUGCCAUCUCAUCUGUGACUAUGAGAGAAGCCAUUUUGGUUCGUUUAGUUUGUCUUGGCUGCCUGUAUGCCACACCGUGGCAUCUUUCUUCUCAGCUGUGUUGGAUUAUGUUUUCUAUGUUCUCAAAUGCUUCUUCUGAUUCACAAAUAUACUAUCUUAGGCUCUCUUUGUGUAUAUAAGAUUGUGUAUAUAAGAUUACUCCCUAUCCCACUCUUAUAUCUACUUAAUAUUUCAAACUUCGCUCACUAUUUCAAACUUCGCUCUGCGACAGUGCAAUACUUCUCAAAACAGUACUUUUACAUGGCCUGCUGACUUCUCUUGAGGUGGAUCUCAUGCAGAUAUGAUUUAGGGAGAGAUGGUGUCUGCCAAUGGGAGCAUACAUUAGCUCUGAUCCUGUGAAGCGUGUCAGUCAAGACCAUAUAGACAGCAGUAGUAAGAACCACCCGAAAACAGGCGAGUCACCAAGCCAUAUUGUAUCAGCGACGAUGAAAAUCAUGUUCUCAUUCUGGAUGUUAAAUUUGAGACCAAAAGAUGGUGUAUUCGUUCAAGUGAUUUUGUAUCCUAUUCAUAGUUCCCUUAACUGAAAAAAUAUGUUCCUUUUGUAUGCC
rnacentral:lncRNA from 7 species